rnacentral:tRNA from 1 species
GUGGACAUGCCGGAGUGGUUAUCGGGCAUGACUAGAAAUCAUGUGAAAUCAUGUGGGCUCUGCCCGCGCAGGUUCGAAUCCUGCUGUUCACG